AAAUUGAAGAGUUUGAUCAUGGCUCAGAUUGAACGCUGGCGGCAGGCCUAACACAUGCAAGUCGAGCGGUAGCACAGAGAGCUUGCUCUCGGGUGACGAGCGGCGGACGGGUGAGUAAUGUCUGGGAAACUGCCUGAUGGAGGGGGAUAACUACUGGAAACGGUAGCUAAUACCGCAUAACGUCGCAAGACCAAAGUGGGGGACCUUCGGGCCUCAUGCCAUCAGAUGUGCCCAGAUGGGAUUAGCUAGUAGGUGGGGUAACGGCUCACCUAGGCGACGAUCCCUAGCUGGUCUGAGAGGAUGACCAGCCACACUGGAACUGAGACACGGUCCAGACUCCUACGGGAGGCAGCAGUGGGGAAUAUUGCACAAUGGGCGCAAGCCUGAUGCAGCCAUGCCGCGUGUGUGAAGAAGGCCUUCGGGUUGUAAAGCACUUUCAGCGGGGAGGAAGGCGAUAAGGUUAAUAACCUUGUCGAUUGACGUUACCCGCAGAAGAAGCACCGGCUAACUCCGUGCCAGCAGCCGCGGUAAUACGGAGGGUGCAAGCGUUAAUCGGAAUUACUGGGCGUAAAGCGCACGCAGGCGGUCUGUCAAGUCGGAUGUGAAAUCCCCGGGCUCAACCUGGGAACUGCAUUCGAAACUGGCAGGCUAGAGUCUUGUAGAGGGGGGUAGAAUUCCAGGUGUAGGAGCGGUGAAAUGCGUAGAGAUCUGGAGGAAUACCGGUGGCGAAGGCGGCCCCCUGGACAAAGACUGACGCUCAGGUGCGAAAGCGUGGGGAGCAAACAGGAUUAGAUACCCUGGUAGUCCACGCCGUAAACGAUGUCGAUUUGGAGGUUGUGCCCUUGAGGCGUGGCUUCCGGAGCUAACGCGUUAAAUCGACCGCCUGGGGAGUACGGCCGCAAGGUUAAAACUCAAAUGAAUUGACGGGGGCCCGCACAAGCGGUGGAGCAUGUGGUUUAAUUCGAUGCAACGCGAAGAACCUUACCUGGUCUUGACAUCCACAGAACUUUCCAGAGAUGGAUUGGUGCCUUCGGGAACUGUGAGACAGGUGCUGCAUGGCUGUCGUCAGCUCGUGUUGUGAAAUGUUGGGUUAAGUCCCGCAACGAGCGCAACCCUUAUCCUUUGUUGCCAGCGGUCCGGCCGGGAACUCAAAGGAGACUGCCAGUGAUAAACUGGAGGAAGGUGGGGAUGACGUCAAGUCAUCAUGGCCCUUACGACCAGGGCUACACACGUGCUACAAUGGCAUAUACAAAGAGAAGCGACCUCGCGAGAGCAAGCGGACCUCAUAAAGUAUGUCGUAGUCCGGAUUGGAGUCUGCAACUCGACUCCAUGAAGUCGGAAUCGCUAGUAAUCGUAGAUCAGAAUGCUACGGUGAAUACGUUCCCGGGCCUUGUACACACCGCCCGUCACACCAUGGGAGUGGGUUGCAAAAGAAGUAGGUAGCUUAACCUUCGGGAGGGCGCUUACCACUUUGUGAUUCAUGACUGGGGUGAAGUCGUAACAAGGUAACCGUAGGGGAACCUGCGGUUGGAUCACCUCCUUACCUUAAAGAA
rnacentral:rRNA from 1 species